CUGCUGCCUCCCGUAGGAGUUUGGACCGUGUCUCAGUUCCAAUGUGGGGGACCUUCCUCUCAGAACCCCUAUCCAUCGAUGCCUUGGUGGGCCGUUACCCCGCCAACAAGCUAAUGGAACGCAUCUCCAUCGAUGACCGAAAUUCUUUAAUAGUUCUACCAUGCGGAAGAACUAUGCCAUCGGGUAUUAAUCUUUCUUUCGAAAGGCUAUCCCCGAGUCAUCGGCAGGUUGGAUACGUGUUACUCACCCGUGCGCCGGUCG
rnacentral:rRNA from 1 species